rnacentral:lncRNA from 14 species
GCCCACCCCCCGCCGAGCGCUUUCAUGUGGCGGCGGCGAUGCACGGAGGAGAUGCGCCCUCCGCCGCCCGGAGAGCCGGCUCCAGCCCCGCGGGCCCGGCCGCCGCCGCCGCGGGCUGUCGGCGGAGCGGUGAGGUUCUCCUGAGCCCGGAGCCCCCCGGAUGAGGCGUUGGAGUCGGUUUUGGGAGAGUGGCGGAGGGGCGGCCGCUGCCGUGAGCAGGCAGUGGGUGUCCUGCUGGUGGAGGUGACGCCUCUGGAGCCAGCUUUGGGACAUGGACCCCGGCAACGCCGCCAAAGUGCCCCUGGCUGCGGGGCGCCGGAGCAGGAGGGUCGCCCUCUGCCUUUUCCCUUGGGACCAGGCGAGCCAGAUUAGUGGAGGGGCAACUCGGUCCAGAGCGCACGUCGGAGACCCGUGGAGCUUUGGGGCCGCAGGUUUUGGAGCCCGGAUCUUUGCGGGGCACUGUUGACCUCCAGCGCCGCGGGCAGAGGUGGCUUUGGGCAGGGGCACCGUGCUCCCUUCUCCGCGUCAAACAAGCCGUGCUGAACAGAUCGCUCAGCUCUUGGCACCUUCCUGAGAGAUCAGACGGCAUCGCUGGGGAGCCAUGGGGCAGAGGCUUCCUGAAAAUAAAAAGCAAAUCCGUAGAGAAUGUUGAGAUAUUGUGAUGAUGUUACCAACCAUUGCUUUGGAAAAAACUGUCAGAAACACCAACGUGUCCCAGCUGCAGCCCAGAGGACAGGAAAACCAAAAGCCUGCUUGAAUUCCCAUUUUGACUCACAGUCACAGAAGUCCAGAAAAGUAAGG